ensembl:snoRNA
AUAGUCUUGUGGUUCAUCAAUGUUUUGAUUUGGCUUUUAUACUGUUGUGUGAGAGAGAUGUGUCUCCUUCUAACCCUGUUAAAACAUCAACACAUUACCUAUCUGGCU